AAGAAGAGGGAGGGUCGGGGAGAGUUCUAGAAGAAAGAGGGGAAGAAGAAAAAAAAUUGAAGGGGACUUCAACUCAAAUUGAGAAGAUAGUAAAACAGUAGGAGCAAGAAGUUGUGAGCGGGUUAGAUUUGGAUACUAAACUGGUAAGGCUACAAUUCUCCAAUUCACAUCCCUUUCAUUUGUGUUUAUUAAUCAGUUUGAAUUUUAUUGGGCAUCUUGGUUAUACUUUAUACCCACAUCAUAAGUGUUUUAAUUCCUUAAUCCUUGUACCAAUUUUGAAUUGGAAUUAGAAUUUUUUCUCAAGAAGAUCCUUAGAGCAAGACCAACUGUCAUGAAUUAUUGCUUGCCUUAUUUCUAGCAUAGUAAUUCUGACGAAGAAGACAAGAAUGAAUAAUUUAGUAAUGCAUAUGAUGGAAUUAUCCCUCUGGGAAAUGCAAUGCUUCACAUUGUCAACGUUUAUCUUCUCUCCUAAAUUCUUCUUACUAUUAAAUUUUGAAUCUUGGUCCAUUCAAUUAGGUACAGGAUGCUCAAUACUUUCCAGUAAAAGAUUUUGUCAACUUUCUAACUUGAUAGUAUGUGCUUGUUUUUGUAUAUUUGGAAAGAUCUAUGCUCAUUGAUAAACGAAAAGGGUUGUGUAGUUGAGUGUGCUUACAUUUGAGAGUUAGAGUCUUGAACUUGGAUUGUGGUGCCAAUAAACAUUGUUGAGUUUAUUUCAAACAAUGGAGUUGAAUGAGACAUCAUAAACUACUUGGUAAUGAUGUUGUAAUUACUAUUUGCAAGCAUUGAGUUGUA